CCUAGAAUCUUCAGCGUUGGUGCUCGCGGCGGAGGUUCCGAUGCCGCAGUUCAACGGGAAGCAGGGAGGGGAUCGCCACCGGUACUCCCCCAGCCUGCGCUGCCCCCGCAACGGUACGUGGACGGGCCUGUACGGCCCGGCUUUCAUCACCCGUCACUGGAUGGUUCCAUCCGGGAAGACGAUGGAGGUUGGUUCCACAAGCCCGGAUACCGGCCAACACGGUGGCUGCCCC
rnacentral:ncRNA from 2 species